rnacentral:rRNA from 1 species
GUAGGGAAUAUUGGGCAAUGGAUGCAAGUCUGACCCAGCCAUCCUGCGUGCCGGAAGAAGGCCCUCAGGGUUGUAAACGGCUUUUGACGGUGAAGAAUCGACAGGAUGCGUCCUGUUUUGACGGUAGCCGUUGAAUAAGCACCGGCUAACUCCGUGCCAGCAGCCGCGGUAAUACGGAGGGUGCGAGCGUUGUCCGGAUUUAUUGGGUUUAAAGGGUGCGUAGGCUGGAAGGUCAGUCAGCGGUGAAAAGCUGUCGCUUAACGAUAGUCUUGCCGCAGAUACUUCCUUUCUUGGAUGAGGAGGAGGCCACUGGAACGGAUGGUGUAGCGGUGAAAUGCAUAGAUAUCAUCCAGAACACCGAUUGCGAAGGCAGGUGGCUGUACCUUAAUCGACGCUGAUGCACGAAAGCAUGGGGAGCAAACAGGAUUAGAAACCCGGGUAGUCC